rnacentral:rRNA from 1 species
CUGUACGAGUGGCGGACGGGGUGAGUAAAGCUUGGGAAUCUGUCUUAUGGAGGGGGAGUAACUACGGGAAACUGUAGCUAAUACCGCGUAACAUCUUCGGAUUAAAGUGUGGGCUCUUCGGACCACACGCCAUAAGUUGAGCCCAAGUGGGAUUAGGUAGUUGGUGGGGUAAAAGGCCUACCAAGCUGACGAUCUCUAGCUGGUCUGAGAGGAUGACCAGCCACACUGGAACUGAGACACGGUCCAG